UACGGAGGGGGCUAGCGUUGUUCGGAAUUACUGGGCGUAAAGGGCGCGUAGGCGGCGAUUCAAGUCAGGCGUGAAAGGCCUGGGCUCAACCCGGGAACUGCGUUUGAUACUGGAUUGCUGGAGUCCGGGAGAGGAUGGCGGAAUUCCCAGUGUAGAGGUGAAAUUCGUAGAUAUUGGGAAGAACACCGGUGGCGAAGGCGGCCAUCUGGACCGGAACUGACGCUGAGGCGCAAAAAGCGUGGGGGAGCAAACAGG
rnacentral:rRNA from 1 species